rnacentral:rRNA from 1 species
AACGAACGCUGGCGGCAUGCCUAACACAUGCAAGUCGAACGAGACCUUCGGGUCUAGUGGCGCACGGGUGCGUAACGCGUGGGAACCUGCCCUUAGGUUCGGAAUAACUCCCCGAAAGGGGUGCUAAUACCGGAUAAUGUCUUCGGACCAAAGAUUUAUCGCCUUUGGAUGGGCCCGCGUUGGAUUAGCUAGUUGGUAGGGUAAAAGCCUACCAAGGCGACGAUCCAUAGCUGGUCUGAGAGGAUGAUCAGCCACACUGGGACUGAGACACGGCCCAAACUCCUCCGGGGGGCGGCAGUGGGAAUAUUGGACAAUGGGCGAAAGCCUGAUCCAGCAAUGCCGCGUGAGUGAUGAAGGCCUUAGGGUUGUAAAGCUCUUUUACCCGGGAUGAUAAUGACAGUACCGGGAGAAUAAGCUCCGGCUAACUCCGUG